rfam:Schistosoma curassoni strain Dakar, Senegal genome assembly, scaffold: SCTD_scaffold0003627
AUCAAUCUGACGAGUUCAAAAUAGGACGAAACACGCCUCUUGGAU